GUCUAUAUGAGAGUUAUAUAAAGUCUGGCCUGCCCAUUGGGGACUUAAAGGCCGCGGUAUUAUGACCGUGCGAAGGUAGCAUAAUCAUUAGCCUUUUAAUUGGGGGCUGGAAUGAAUGGUCGGACGAGAAGUAAGCUGUCUUUAUUUCAUGGAUUGAAUUUAACUUUUAAGUGAGAAGGCUUAAAUGGGUUAGAGGGACGAUAAGACCCUAUAAAGUUUAUACAUGGGGUUAAUUAAGAGUGAUUUAGGACAGUAAAGUUUGCUAUUAGCAAGAUGUUUGGUUGGGGCGACUAGAAUAUAAGUUAUAUAACUGUUUUUUAUUUAAGUCAGAAGUAUUUGUUUGUAGUGAUCCCUUUUUAGGAUUUAAGAGUAAAUUACUUUAGGGAUAACAGCGUAAUUUUUUUUGAGAGUUCUUAUCGACAAAAGAGUUUGCGACCUCGAUGUUGAAUUAAAAAUUUCUUUGCGGUGUAGUGGUUGCAGGAGAAGGUCUGUUCGACCUUUAAAUUUUUACAUGAUUUGAGUUCAGACCGGCGUGAG
rnacentral:rRNA from 1 species